rnacentral:rRNA from 1 species
AGAGUUUGAUCAUGGCUCAGAUUGAACGCUGGCGGCAGGCCUAACACAUGCAAGUCGAGCGGAUGAAGGGAGCUUGCUCCUGGAUUCAGCGGCGGACGGGUGAGUAAUGCCUAGGAAUCUGCCUGGUAGUGGGGGAUAACGUCCGGAAACGGGCGCUAAUACCGCAUACGUCCUGAGGGAGAAAGUGGGGGAUCUUCGGACCUCACGCUAUCAGAUGAGCCUAGGUCGGAUUAGCUAGUUGGUGGGGUAAAGGCCUACCAAGGCGACGAUCCGUAACUGGUCUGAGAGGAUGAUCAGUCACACUGGAACUGAGACACGGUCCAGACUCCUACGGGAGGCAGCAGUGGGGAAUAUUGGACAAUGGGCGAAAGCCUGAUCCAGCCAUGCCGCGUGUGUGAAGAAGGUCUUCGGAUUGUAAAGCACUUUAAGUUGGGAGGAAGGGCAGUAAGUUAAUACCUUGCUGUUUUGACGUUACCAACAGAAUAAGCACCGGCUAACUUCGUGCCAGCAGCCGCGGUAAUACGAAGGGUGCAAGCGUUAAUCGGAAUUACUGGGCGUAAAGCGCGCGUAGGUGGUUCAGCAAGUUGGAUGUGAAAUCCCCGGGCUCAACCUGGGAACUGCAUCCAAAACUACUGAGCUAGAGUACGGUAGAGGGUGGUGGAAUUUCCUGUGUAGCGGUGAAAUGCGUAGAUAUAGGAAGGAACACCAGUGGCGAAGGCGACCACCUGGACUGAUACUGACACUGAGGUGCGAAAGCGUGGGGAGCAAACAGGAUUAGAUACCCUGGUAGUCCACGCCGUAAACGAUGUCGACUAGCCGUUGGGAUCCUUGAGAUCUUAGUGGCGCAGCUAACGCGAUAAGUCGACCGCCUGGGGAGUACGGCCGCAAGGUUAAAACUCAAAUGAAUUGACGGGGGCCCGCACAAGCGAUGGAGCAUGUGGUUUAAUUCGAAGCAACGCGAAGAACCUUACCUGGCCUUGACAUGCUGAGAACUUUCCAGAGAUGGAUUGGUGCCUUCGGGAACUCAGACACAGGUGCUGCAUGGCUGUCGUCAGCUCGUGUCGUGAGAUGUUGGGUUAAGUCCCGUAACGAGCGCAACCCUUGUCCUUAGUUACCAGCACCUCGGGUGGGCACUCUAAGGAGACUGCCGGUGACAAACCGGAGGAAGGUGGGGAUGACGUCAAGUCAUCAUGCCCCUUACGGCCAGGGCUACACACGUGCUACAAUGGUCGGUACAAAGGGUUGCCAAGCCGCGAGGUGGAGCUAAUCCCAUAAAACCGAUCGUAGUCCGGAUCGCAGUCUGCAACUCGACUGCGUGAAGUCGGAAUCGCUAGUAAUCGUGAAUCAGAAUGUCACGGUGAAUACGUUCCCGGGCCUUGUACACACCGCCCGCCACACCAUGGGAGUGGGUUGCUCCAGAAGUAGCUAGUCUAACCGCAAGGGGGACGGUUACCACGGAGUGAUUCAUGACUGGGGUGAAGUCGUAACAAGGUAGCCGUAGGGGAACCUGCGGCUG